AGUGGAAUUACUGGGUGAUAUGGUAAUUAUAUACUUAGUUUUAUAAGAAACUGUCAAAUUGCUUUCCAGAGCAUAUAUACCAUUUAACAUUCCCACCAGAAAU
rnacentral:pre_miRNA from 1 species